AGGUGACGUCAAAUCAUCAUGCCCCUUAUGACCUGGGCUACACACGUGCUACAAUGGUUGGUACAACGAGUUGCGAGUCGGUGACGGCGAGCUAAUCUCUUAAAGCCAAUCUCAGUUCGGAUUGUAGGCUGCAACUCGCCUACACGAAGUCGGAAUCGCUAGUAAUCGCGGAUCAGCACGCCGCGGUGAAUACGUUCCCGGGCCUU
rnacentral:rRNA from 1 species